GUGUCUCUAUUUUAUCUGGGGGAGAGAAACAUGCCUGUGUCUGCACUACACUGUGUCUGCCACUGACUGAGUGGUCUAUAAUAGAGGUCGACCGAUUAUGAUUUUUCAAUGACGAUACCGAUUAUUGGAGGACCAAAAAAAGCCGAUACCGAUUAAUCGGCCAAUUUUUAAAUACUGAAUGAACACUUUCAUUUGAACUUAUUAUAAUACAUCAAUAAAAUCAAUUUAGCCUCAAAUAAUGAAACAUGUUCAAUUUGGUUUAAAUAAUGCAAAAACAAAGUGUUGGAGAAGUAAAAGUGCAAUAUUUGCUAUGUAAAAAAGCUAACGUUUAAGUUCCUUGCUCAGAACAUGAGACCAUAUGAAAGCUGAUGGUUCCUUUUAACAUGAGUCUUCAAUAUUCCCAGGUAAGAAGUUUUAGGUUGAGGUUAUUAUAGGAAUUAUAGGACUAUUUCUCUCUAUACCAUUUGUAUUUCAUAUACCUUUGACUAUUGGAUGUUCUUAUAGGCACUUUAGUAUUGCCAGUGUAACAGUAUAGCUUCCGUCCCUCUCCUCGCUCCUACCUGGGCUCGAACCAGGAACACAUCGACAACAGCCACCCUCGAAGCAGCGUUAUCCAUGCAGAGCAAGGGGAACUACUCCUAGUCUCAGAGCGAGUGACGUUUGAAACGCUAUUAGCGUGCACCCCGCUAACUAGCUAGCCAUUUCACAUCGGUUACACCAGCCUAAUCUCGGGAGUUGAUAGGCUUGAAGUCAUAAACAGCGCAAUGCUUGAAGAGCUGCUGGCAAACGCACGAAAGUGCUGUUUGAAUGAAUGCUUAUGAACCUGCUGGUGUCUACCACUGCUCAGUCAGACUGCUCUAUCAAAUCAUAGACUUAAUUAUAACAUAAUAACACACAGAAAUACGAGCCUUAGGUCAUUAAUAUGGUCAAAUCCGGGAACUAUAAUUUCGAAAAUAAAACAUUUAUUCUUUCAGUGAAAUACGGAACCAUUCCGUAUUUUAUCUAACGGGUGGCAUCCAUCAGGCUAAAUAUUCCUGUUACAUUGCACAACCUUCAAUGUUAUGUUAUAAUUACCUCAAAUUCUGGCAAAUUAGUUCGCAACGAGCCAGGCGGCCCAAACUGUUGCAUGUACCCUGACUCUGUGUGCAAUGAACGCAAGAGGUGACACAAUUUCCCUAGUUUAAUAUUGCCUGCUAACAUGAAUUUCUUUUAACUAAAUAUGCAGGUUUAAAAAUAUAUACUUCUGUGUAUUGAUUUUAAGAAAGGCAUUGAUGUUUUAUGGUUAGGUACAUUCGUGCAACAUAUGUGCUUUUUUCACAAAUGCGCUUUUGUUAAAUCAUCCCCCGUUGGGCGAAGUUGGCUGUCUUUGUUAGGAAGAAAUGGUCUUCACACAGUUCUCAACGAGCCAGGCGGCCCAAACUGCUGCAUAUACCCUGACUCUGUUGCACAGAAUGCAAGAGAAGUGACACAAAUUCUCUAGUUAAUUUGUUUUAUAUUAACAGGCAAUAUUAACUAAAUAUGCAGGUUUAAAAAUAUAUACUUGUGUAUUGAUUUUAAGAAAGGUGUUGAUGUUUAUGGUUAGGUACACAUUGAUGUUUAUGGUUAGGUACACAUUGAUGUUUAUGGUUAGGUACACAUUGAUGUUUAUGGUUAGGUACACAUUGAUGUUUAUGGUUAGGUACACAUUGAUGUUUAUGGUUAGGUACACCAUUGAUGUUUAUGGUUAGGUACACCAUUGAUGUUUAUGGUUAGGUACACAUUGAUGUUUAUGGUUAGGUACACAUUGAUGUUUAUGGUUAGGUACACCAUUGAUGUUUAUGGUUAGGUACACCAUUGAUGUUUAUGGUUAGGUACACAUUGAUGUUUAUGGUUAGGUACACAUUGAUGUUUAUGGUUAGGUACACAUUGAUG